GACGAACGCUGGCGGCGUGCUUAACACAUGCAAGUCGAACGGAAAGGCCCUGCUUUUGUGGGGUGCUCGAGUGGCGAACGGGUGAGUAACACGUGAGUAACCUGCCCUUGACUUUGGGAUAACUUCAGGAAAUUGGAGCUAAUACCGGAUAGGAGCUCCUGCUGCAUGGUGGGGGUUGGAAAGUUUCGGCGGUUGGGGAUGGACUCGCGGCUUAUCAGCUUGUUGGUGGGGUAGUGGCUUACCAAGGCUUUGACGGGUAGCCGGCCUGAGAGGGUGACCGGCCACAUUGGGACUGAGAUACGGCCCAGACUCCUACGGGAGGCAGCAGUGGGGAAUAUUGCACAAUGGGCGGAAGCCUGAUGCAGCAACGCCGCGUGCGGGAUGACGGCCUUCGGGUUGUAAACCGCUUUCGCCUGUGACGAAGCGUGAGUGACGGUAAUGGGUAAAGAAGCACCGGCUAACUACGUG
rnacentral:rRNA from 1 species